AUGAACCCGUCCUCGGCUCCGGGCCCGGAUGGAUUGCCAGUCUCGUUUUUCAAAACAUUCUGGCAAACCAUCAAACCGGAAGUCAUGGCCCUCUUCGACGAGUUCUUCUCUGGGACCAUGGACCUUGGGCGCCUAAACUAUGGGAUCAUUACCCUCAUCCCCAAGGUCCCGGGGGCCUCGGACAUUCGCCAAUUCCGCCCGAUCACGAUGAUCAACGUGAUCUUCAGGAUCUUGGCUAAAGGGUACGCCAAUAGGGUGACCCUUCUAGCGGACUCUGUCACCCACCCCAACCAAUCCGCCUUCAUCCAAUGCCAGUUUAUUUUGGAUGGGGUGCUGGUCUUUCAUGAAGUCCUCCAUGAAAUCCGAGCCAAGAACCACCGUGCGGUCUUCCUAAAGCUCGACUUUCACAAAGCCUACGACACUGUCCAUUGGCCCUUCCUUCGGGAAGUUUUGCUUCGAAAGGGCUUCGACGACCGCUGGGUGACCCGCAUUAUGCAACUCGUCACAUGCGGUCGGCCGGCGGUCAACAUCGACGGUGAGAUCGGGCCUUACUUCCCCUGUUGGGUAACGUAG
rnacentral:rRNA from 1 species